rnacentral:rRNA from 1 species
UACGUAGGUGACCAGCGUUGUCCGGAUUUACUGGGCGUAAAGAGCGCGCAGGCGGUCGUUCAAGUCGAGUGUGAAAGCCCCCGGCUCAACUGGGGAGGGUCAUUCGAUACUGAUCGACUUGAAGGCAGGAGAGGGAAGUGGAAUUCCCGGUGUAGUGGUGAAAUGCGUAGAUAUCGGGAGGAACACCAGUGGCGAAGGCGACUUCCUGGCCUGUUCUUGACGCUGAGGCGCGAAAGCGAGGGGGGCAAACAGG